rnacentral:lncRNA from 1 species
ACAGGCUGGAGGGACUUCCUGCAGGGCUGGCUUUCUUCCCUUUGCUGCUUUUGAGCUUUUCACUCAAGAACAUCGGGCUUUCCUCCUGUGAUGAGCUCAGCCUCAUCAGAGGCAGCUUCUCAGGUUUGACUGGGGGACCUCAGGGUGUUCCCCUACCUUGAACCCACAGAAUUGGUAUUGUCUGAGAGAGGCCAUGGAGCUGCAUUUGCUGAGUUCUAGUGGCCGCUGGGGCAUUUGGUUCCUGAAAUCAGAGAAGAGCUUUGAUUUUUCUCUCAGAGACCCUUGGGGAUCAAGACUUAGCUCCUGGCAGGAUCACCUCCUGCAUGAUCGCCAGAAUUCCUGGGCCCUAGUCGGGAUGCAGUUUCCCAGGCCUUCUUUCCCACCGCAGGCCUGAUCAGCAGAUGCUCCUGCUGCCCAGGGAGCUGUGGGAGGGCGCCAAGGAGAAACUUCACUGACAUCAUGAUUUUCCGAGACCAGGCCUGAACUAGUUCCUGGCGGUUGAGAAUGCCAGGGCUGGAGGGAAGCGCCUGAGAGCAGAGGGUCAAGCAGCACAGAGAAGGAAACCAGGUCAGGACCUCAAGGAGAUGCGUCUGCCGUCUGGAAGUAAGCCUGGGCCAGAGUAGGACUAGAGCCCGGGGCCCCCCGGCUCCCUUCUUCCCUGUGCUGCACCUCAUUGCUGCCACGGACAGGCCGUUGGUUCCAAAUUUACUGAGUGUCUCCUUUGGCACCGGGGACAAAGCUUGAUGCUGGGGGCAUGCAGUAGGGAGCUGACAGCUUAAUGGGGAAGAGACACAUCCAUUAGACGUUUAUAUAGUCAGCUCCCAGAGGCACCCUGGUCUGGCCAGCUGGCCCUCUCUAAGCUGGAGACCCAGGACGCCAGAGCAUACAGGGGCGUUUCUGGGUUGGCUGGCCCCUAACUUGUGCCUGGGAGGCAGAAGGGCCAUCUUCUCUCAGGCCUUCUCUCCACCUCUCUGAAACGGCAGGAAAGCUCCAGAGCGACCCUGUGACAAGCAUGGAGUGCUCAGGUCAGGGCAGUCCAGCUGCAAGGGCAGAAGGGGGCACCGCUGGGCACCUUCUCCUUUAUUAUCAAUAUCUGCACAACGUGAGGGAUGCUGCUGGACAGACACAAUCAGCUCUGAGUCCCGGCCCUUCAUCAAGAGGCUCAGUUCUAAAUCGCCAUGCUCCUCCUCUGUGGCCUGUUUACUCGGGGUGUCUGUGCACAACGCUGGGAAUGACGUCUGUCUGUCUGUCUCUCUGUCUUAGGAAGAUUUCUGAAAAUACAAAACAUGAUGUCAGGGGGGAGCAAUCUCUGAGGGUCUUUUCCCCAGACUAUGGUAUCUUUGGAAUGGAAACCACACAGCUGCAUGAUGAUGCAGGAGUUUGCCAGAUUUCAUUCCAUGGUCCUGACCGCAGUCCAGGUUUGAUCGUCAGCUAUUUAACACACAAGAAGCAGACGAUGUUUAUGACUUCAGACAGCGGCCUUGAUUUCACAGAGAAAAUAGGAAAGCUUAUUAUUUUGCACAUGGACCGUGAGAAGCAGACCAGCUUACUCCCACGAAGGCUGGUCACCGGGUGCCCUGAUGAAGAUUUCUCAGAGGGAAUGUGUGGCCCCUCAUUCCAGUGGCUACCUAGUCACUUCUCAAGAAAGUACAGUGCUCUGAUGACUGGGCAGAUGUGCGCGGCCUCUGACUGCAGCCGUGGUGAUGUUCUCUCACGCUGUAAAGGGGAGGAACGGGCUCCAGCAUGGAGACUGAUGGAAU